rnacentral:pre_miRNA from 1 species
GGAGCUGAUUGUCCAAACGCAAUUCUUGUAGCUGUUGGAUAUCAGGAGUUGUGGAUGGACAUCAUGCUCC